rnacentral:rRNA from 1 species
CCGUAAAAAAGAUUGAUCUAUAAACCUCAUCCGCCGCGGUGCUAUUAGCAGAGCGCUAAACCCAAAGAGGCUGGGGGGGUUUUUAAACCCCCCAGAGGAGCUUUUUAUGUACUGAUAAUCCCCGUUAAACUCUCCCCCUUCUUGCUUUUCCGCCUAUAUACCGCUGUCGCGUUCACUGUGAAAAGGCUUCAGUGAGAGAAAUUGGAAAACCCAAAAACGUCAGGUCGUGUUGUAGUUGAAGAGAGAAGAAGUAAUCGGCAUUAUUUGUUUAACACAGACGAGAAUGACUUAGAGAAACACUGUCUGAAGGAGGAUUUAGCAGUGAGGGGAAGAGAGAGUAUUCUCUAAAACGCGCCCAGAAGCGCGCACACCCCGCCCGUCC